rnacentral:rRNA from 1 species
GAUGAACGCUAGCUACAGGCUUAACACAUGCAAGUCGAGGGGAAACGAUAUUGGAAGCUUGCUUCCGAUAGGCGUCGACCGGCGCACGGGUGAGUAACGCGUAUCCAACCUGCCCAUCACUUGGGGAUAACCUUGCGAAAGUAAGACUAAUACCCAAUGAUAUCUCUAGAAGACAUCUGAAAGGGAUUAAAGAUUUAUCGGUGAUGGAUGGGGAUGCGUCUGAUUAGCUUGUUGGCGGGGUAACGGCCCACCAAGGCGACGAUCAGUAGGGGUUCUGAGAGGAAGGUCCCCCACAUUGGAACUGGGACACGGUCCAAACUCCUACGGGAGGCAGCAGUGAGGAAUAUUGGUCAAUGGACGAGAGUCUGAACCAGCCAUGUAGCGUGCAGGCUGACGGCCCUAUGGGUUGUAAACUGCUUUUAUAAGGGAAUAAAGUGAGCCUCGUGAGGCUUUUUGCAUGUACCUUAUGAAUAAGGACCGGCUAAUUCCGUGCCAGCCGCCGCGGUAA